UAAGAGGGAACCCGGUGGGAAUCCGGGACUGCCCCGCAGCGGUGAGUGGGAACGAACGCCGUCAUACGCACUGGGUCCGGGAAACGGGUCCGGGAAGCGACGGCCAGUAGGGGUCCGCCUCGGCGGAUGUGCCCGCGAGUCCGAAGACCU
rfam:Streptomyces sp. PVA 94-07 chromosome, whole genome shotgun sequence.